UUAUAUAUAAGGUGUGAUACCUUAAACAAGACAUCUAUUAUACCUGGCGGCACACGACUCCUACUAUACCUAGAACAAGACACCUACUACAAGACAUCUACUAUACCUGGAACACGACAUCAACUCUACCUGGAACAAGACAUCUACUCUACCUGAAACAAGACACCUACCUAGAACACGACAUCUACUAAACCUGAAACGAGACACCGGGCCGAUACCUUUAUAUGAACAUCUGAAGCUAAGUACAGAUAAAAGACCAGGUGAAGUAAGAUACCUAUCUAGGUCCAGAAUACAAAUAAUAAAAAUCUGUUAUCAAGAUGGCGAGCUACCAAGUAAAACAGAAAGGUCGAAUGCCUGACGACCACUAUAGGAAAAUCCAAGCCAAUUUCUGCUACCUAGCGGAUCAUAUCAAGGAACCAGUAAAGCUUGGUAAUAAAUUAUUUGAAAAAAAUGUAUUCGACGCAGAUGAAACUGACGAAAUAAAGAAAAUUUACAUGAACGCUGAAAAGGGCCGCUAUGCAGCUGCCGACAAGCUACUGAUGUAUGUCUUGUCAAACUGUGGUGAUGCCUAUGGUAGAUUCAUCCUAUGUGUAAAAGAACUAGGUUACACAGAAAUCGUCAAUGUAUUAGAAAACACCACGAAUGGUAAAAAUAAAACCAAUCUGAUGACAGAACAAGACAAGACAAGACAUCAGCUAGAUGACAUAUAUAAUACUAGCAGGAUACCCGGCUACGCUCGGGGGUCAUAACUUCGAAACCGGAAGUGGUAGACUAACGCCGCCUGGCCCAUGUUACUCCCCAGUCCGAGCUACCCCUAUACCCCAAAUUCAGACUCGGGCCAGACCUAGUGUAGCCGCCAACCCCGAACAGACAGACAGACAGACAAACGACAGUCACAAAUAUUAGUAUAGAUAAUAUCCAACAAGGACUGACUUACCUGAAACAAUAUUAAAUAUGACUUGAUAAACUGUAAAUAUAGUAUAACAUGUUAUAUAUUACAGAUACACGUCAACAACAACAACAACAAUUAUUUGAUGCCUGUCUCGAUGGUACUUUGGAUGAUAUAAAAAACAUGGUGAACAUAGAUGUUAACGUCAGAGACAGUAUGUGGGACCAGACACCGUUAUUUAAAUGUUGUAUGUCACGUGUAAGUCCUGUAGAUAAAAUAAAAUAUCUAGUCAGUCAUCAUCAGGCUGAUAUUAACGUUAGAACCAGUUAUAAUAAUACCAUCUUACACGAGGCAUGUUGGCGUGGUACUUUAUCUACAGUACAAUAUCUUGUUGAUGAUUUACACAUGAAUGUUCAUACAACAGGUCGUUACAACAGUACACCGUUAUUUUACUGUUGUAUGUCAAGUGUAAGUACUGUAGAUAAAAUACAAUAUCUAGUCAGUCAUCAGGCUGAUAUUAAAGCUAGAGACAGUGAUAAUAAUACCAUCUUACACUGGGCAUGUUGGCUUGGUACUUUAUCUACAGUACAAUAUCUUGUUGAUGAUUUACACAUGAAUGUUAAUACAACAGGUCGUUACAACAGUACACCGUUAUUUUACUGUUGUAUGUCAAGUGUAAGUACUGUAGAUAAAAUACAAUAUCUAGUCAGUCAUCAGGCUGAUAUUAACGCUAGAGACAGUUAUAAUGAUACCAUCUUACACGAGGCAUGUAGGUUUGGUACUUUAUCUACAGUACAAUAUCUAGUUGAUUGUUUACAUCUAGAUCUACAUGUCAAGAAUAACCGUAGUCAAACAGUUCUAGAUUAUUGUAGGAAAUCAGCCACUGAACAAGAUGAAAAGAUAAAAUAUAUCACAGAUCAAAUGAAAUUAAAAUAAACAAGUUAUAAUAAUUCAUGUAAACUAGUCAACAUAAUGUUAUUGUCUCUAGUCAUACAAUUUACAGUUUUAUUGUCUCUUGUCAACAGUUAAAACUACUGAUGACGUAUUAUACUGUCUCUAGUCAACAGUUAAAACUACUGAUGACGUAUUACACUGUCUCUAGUCAACUACUGAUGACGUAUUACACUGUCUGUAGUCAACAGUUAAACCUACUGAUGACGUAUUAUAUUGUCUCUGGUCAACAGUUAAAACUACUGAUGACGUAUUACACUGUCUGUAGUCAACAGUUAAAACUACCGAUGACGUAUUACACUGUCUCUGGUCAACAUUUAAAACUACUGAUGACGUAUUACACUGUCUCUGGUCAACAUUUAAAACUACUGAUGACGUAUUACACUGUCCCUGGUCAACAUUUAAAACUACUGAUGACGUAUUACACUGUCUGUAGUCAACAGUUAAAACUUCUGAUGACGUAUUAUACUGUCUCUAGUCAACAGUUCAAACUACCGAUGACGUAUUACACUGUCUCUGGUCAACAUUUAAAACUACUGAUGACGUAUUACACUCUCUCUGGUCAACAUUUAAAACUACUGAUGACGUAUUAUACUGUCUCUAGUCAACAGUUAAGACUACUGAUGACGUAUUAUACUGUCUGUAGUCAACAGUUAAAACUACUGAUGACGUAUUACACUGUCUGUAGUCAAUAGUUAAACUACUGAUGACGUAUUUGUAUUUUAUCUACAGGACUAAUACUGUGUUUAUAUUUAUUGUUUAUUUUAUUGUUUAAUUUAUUUAAAAUGUCUUCAAUAUUUUUUUUGUAUAUAUUUAUUUUCAAUGAAAAAUACUGUUUACAAAAACUCGUGUUUAUUUUUAUACGUUCAAUCGUGUCUUUGCGCUUGUGUCUAUGUUUGGCCCACAGACUUCAAUUCUUUGGUGCAUGCCCAAGCACCAGGGACAGAGCCAUGCCCAAUGUCCUUUAUUUAGGUGCAUGUCCAACCCCCAGGGGUGGUGAAAUGAAAUGAAAUGGGGUUUAACGUCCUAUAGGUCUGCUCCGACUGGUCUAAUGAAGACGGACAUUCACCAUACAAUGUGCUAUGACCAGUGCCGGACUGGGCCCACCUGUCCACCUAAGCUCAUUUAAAAAAUGUGGGCCUAAGCCCAUAAAGAAAAAAGAGAAAGAAAAAAGAGAAAGACAGGAGGGGGGAGGAAAGAAAAGAAAUCUGUUAUCUAAGUGUAUCAGGAAAUCAAAAAUUUGCCAUUUUCUGCUUUGGUGUGAAAUGCUUGGAAAAUGGGUUUGUGGUUGUCAAUUUUCAAAAUCUUUCUGGGGGAGACCCCCCCCCCCCCAAAAAAAAAAAAAACCCUCGGACGUUCGUGAGACUUCGGCGCUUACUUAGGUGGGCCUUGGUUAAUGGCCUGACAGGUGGGCCUUUGGUCCGGCACUGGCUAUGACUGAUAUUUUGCCAGAACAGCGGCGCUACGACCUACUCUUAUUGCGAAUUCCAACUGCCAAGGGAUCUUUUACGUGCACGCCAAUGUGUAUAAGGGACCUAGGUUUUUCGUCAAAUCCGAAGG